CCUACGGGAGGCAGCAGUGAGGAAUAUUGGUCAAUGGACGAGAGUCUGAACCAGCCAAGUAGCGUGAAGGAUGACUGCCCUAUGGGUUGUAAACUUCUUUUAUAUGGGAAUAAAACGUUCCACGUGUGGGAUUUUGUAUGUACCAUAUGAAUAAGGAUCGGCUAACUCCGUGCCAGCAGCCGCGGUAAUACGGAGGAUCCGAGCGUUAUCCGGAUUUAUUGGGUUGAAAGGGAGCGUAGGUGGAUUUUUAAGUCAGUUGUGAAAGUUUGCGGCUGAACCGUAAAAUUGCAGUUGAAACUGGCAGUCUUGAGUACAGUAGAGGUGAGCGGAAUUCGUGGUGUAGCGGUGAAAUGCUUAGAUAUCACGAAGAACUCCGAUUGCGAAGGCAGUUCACUGGACUGCAACUGACACUGAGGCUCGAAAGUGUGGGUAUCAAACAGGAUUAGAUACCCGAGUAGUC
rnacentral:rRNA from 1 species